rnacentral:rRNA from 1 species
GCGGCAGGCUUAACACAUGCAAGUCGAGGGGUAAUUCCGGCUUUUGUCGGAAACGACCGGCGAACGGGUGAGUAACGCGUAUGCAACCUGCCUGUAACUGCGGCAUAGCCCCGAGAAAUCGGGAUUAAUAUCGCAUAGUAUCCCAGUAUCACAUGAUACAGGGAUGAAAGCUUCGGCGGUUACAGAUAGGCAUGCGUGACAUUAGCUUGUUGGUGAGGUAACGGCUCACCAAUGCGACGAUGUCUAGGGGGUCUGAGAGGAUGAUCCCCCCACACUGGUACUGAGACACGGACCAGACUCCUACGGGAGGCAGCAGUGAGGAAUAUUGCGCAAUGGAGGAAACUCUGACGCAGCCAUGCCGCGUGCAGGAUGACAGCCCUAUGGGUUGUAAACUGCUUUUCUGCAGGAAGAAUCUUCCGUACGUGUACGGAAUUGACGGUACUGCAGGAAUAAGCAUCGGCUAACUCCGUGCCAGCAGCCGCGGUAAUACGGAGGAUGCAAGCGUUAUCCGGAUUCAUUGGGUUUAAAGGGUGCGCAGGCGGAGGUGUAAGUCAGAGGUGAAAGCCCACAGCUUAACUGUGGAAUGGCCUUUGAUACUGCACGUCUUGAGUCUAGCUGAGGUAGGCGGAAUGUAGUAUGUAGCGGUGAAAUGCUUAGAUAUACUACAGAACACCAAUUGCGAAGGCAGCUUACCAAACUAGCACUGACGCUCAGGCACGAAAGC